rnacentral:misc_RNA from 1 species
GAUGAAGAACGCAGCGAAAUGCGAUAAGUAAUGUGAAUUGCAGAAUUCAGUGAAUCAUCGAAUCUUUGAACGCACAUUGCGCCCGCCAGUAUUCUGGCGGGCAUGCCUGUCCGAGCGUCAUUUCAACCAUCAAGCCCCCGGGCUUGUGUUGGGGACCUGCGGCUGCCCGCAGGCCCUGAAAACCAGUGGCGGGCUCGCUGUCACACCGAGCGUAGUAGCAAUCACCUCGCUCAGGGCGUGCUGCGGGUUCCGGCCGUUAAACAGCCUUACAAAACCCAAGGUUGACCUCGGAUCAGGUAGGAAGACCCGCUGAACUUAAGCAUAUCAAUAGCGGAGGA